rnacentral:rRNA from 1 species
GAGGAAUAUUGGUCAAUGGAUGGAAAUCUGAACCAGCCAAGUAGCGUGCAGGAUGACGGCCCUAUGGGUUGUAAACUGCUUUUAUGUGAGAAUAAAGUUAGGUAUGUAUACUUAUUUGCAUGUAUCACAUGAAUAAGGACCGGCUAAUUCCGUGCCAGCAGCCGCGGUAAUACGGAAGGUCCAGGCGUUAUCCGGAUUUAAUGGGUUUAAAGGGUGCGUAGGCCGUUUGAUAAGCGUGCUGUGAAAUAUAGUGGCUCAACCUCUAUCGUGCAGCGCGAACUGUCGAACUUGAGUGCGUAGUAGGUAGGCGGAAUUCGUGGUGUAGCGGUGAAAUGCUUAGAUAUCACGAAGAACUCCGAUUGCGAAGGCAGCUUACCGUAACGUUACUGACGCUUAAGCACGAAGGUGCGGGUAUCGAACAGGAUUAGAUACCCUGGUAGUCCGCACAGUAAACGAUGGAUGCUCGCUGUUGGCCUUUAUGGUCAGUGGCUUAGCGAAAGCGUUAAGCAUCCCACCUGGGGAGUACGCCGGCAACGGUG